UACGGAGGGGGCUAGCGUUGUUCGGAAUUACUGGGCGUAAAGCGCACGUAGGCGGUUAUUCAAGUCAGAGGUGAAAGCCCGGGGCUCAACCCCGGAACAGCCUUUGAAACUAGAUAGCUAGAAUCACGGAGAGGUGGGUGGAAUUCCGAGUGUAGAGGUGAAAUUCGUAGAUAUUCGGAAGAACACCAGUGGCGAAGGCGGCCCACUGGACGUGUAUUGACGCUGAGGUGCGAAAGCGUGGGGAGCAAACAGG
rnacentral:rRNA from 1 species